rnacentral:rRNA from 1 species
AUUGAACGCUGGCGGCAGGCCUAACACAUGCAAGUCGAGCGAGCGGCGGACGGGUGAGUAAUGUCUGGGGACUGCCCGAUAGAGGGGGAUAACUACUGGAAACGGUGGCUAAUACCGCAUACUAUCGGAUAACCCAUAUGGGAUUAGCUAGUAGGUGGGGUAACGGCUCACCUAGGCGACGAUCUCUAGCUGGGUUGAGAGGAUGAUCAGGCAAACUGGGACUGGAACAAGGGCCAAAUCCCAAGGGAGGGAAGAGGGGGGAAAAUUGCACAAUGGGGGCAAGCCUGAUUCCGCCAAGCCGCGUGUAUGAAGGAGGCCUUAGGGUUUGAAAGUACUUUCAGCGGGGAAGCGGUUACCGGAGGAGAAGCAACGGCGAACUCCGUGCCAGCAGCCGCGGGAAUAC